GAUGAACGCUGGCGGUAUGCUUAACACAUGCAAGUCGAACGGAGUACUUUCGGGUACUUAGUGGCGGACGGGUGAGUAACGCGUGAGAACAUGCCUUUAGAUUGGGGACAACAGUUGGAAACGACUGCUAAUACCGAAUGUGCCGAAAGGUGAAAGAUUAAUUGUCUAAAGAUUGGCUUGCGUCAGAUUAGCUAGUUGGAGUGGUAACGGCACACCAAGGCGACGAUCUGCACUUGGUCUGAGAGGAUGACCAGGCACACUGGAACUGAGACGCGGUCCAGACUCCUACGGGAGGCAGCAGUGGGGAAUUUUUCCGCAAUGGGCGCAAGCCUGACGGAGCAAUACCGCGUGAGGGAGGAAGCUUUUUGGAGUGUAAACCUCUUUUAUUAGGGAAGAAUUGAUGACGGUACCUAAUGAAUCAGCAUCGGCUAACUCCGUGCCAGCAGCCGCGGUAAU
rnacentral:rRNA from 1 species